GUUGAAACACCGAUUCUCGUCCGAUCAGUGAAGUUGAGCAACGUCGAGUCGGGGUCAGUAGCUAGAUGGGUGACCAUUUGGGAAUACCAGGUGGUGUAAG